CAGAUAAUGGAGCUGUCUAUUGGCAAAGUAUCAUGAUAGCUCGACGUUUUGUCUUGGUAUUAUCAUAUACUUUCAUCCCUGAUCCAACUGUACGGUUAUUCUUCAUGACAUUGUUUAACGUUCUCGUCUUAUUCCAUCAUGUAUCCGUAAAACCCUUUCAGAAUCCAUUCGCAAAUUCCCUCGAGUCUGUCUCCUUGCUAGUUCUGAUUACUCUUGGGUUAAUAAAUAUGCACAAAUCUGUAUAUGUUGGCGUAGAGGCACACGUCAAAGGGGACUUGGUACAGAUUUUUCAGGCUUAUGAUUGGUUUCAAAUUAUUGUGCUGGGUUUCUUACCCGCCGUCUUUCUCUUGAUAAUUUCAUUGGGAUUUAUGUCUUUGGUUGUUCGCAUCCUGCUUCGCUUCUGCCACUGUUUAAUGACAAACCUUUCAAGAGUCUACAGCUCUUACGAACGACUUCCCUGAACGACUUCCGAACGACUACGACCUACGAUACGAACGACUUCCCUGAG